AAAAGGUGGCUAUGCUACCGCUUUUGGAUGGGCCCGCGGGGCAUUAGCUAGUUGGUGGGGUAAAGGCUUACCAAGGCAAUGAUGCGUAGCCGAACUGAGAGGUUGAUCGGCCACAUUGGGACUGAGACACGGCCCAAACUCCUACGGGAGGCAGCAGUAGGGAAUCUUCCACAAUGGGCGAAAGCCUGAUGGAGCAACGCCGCGUGGGUGAAGAAGGUCUUCGGAUCGUAAAACCCUGUUGUUAGAGAAGAAAGUGCGUGAGAGUAACUGUUCACGUUUCGACGGUAUCUAACCAGAAAGCCACGGCUAACUACGUGCCAGCAGCCGCGGUAAUACGUAGGUGGCAAGCGUUAUCCGGAUUUAUUGGGCGUAAAGGGAACGCAGGCGGUCUUUUAAGUCUGAUGUGAAAGCCUUCGGCUUAACCGGAGUAGUGCAUUGGAAACUGGGAGACUUGAGUGCAGAAGAGGAGAGUGGAACUCCAUGUGUAGCGGUGAAAUGCGUAGAUAUAUGGAAGAACACCAGUGGCGAAAGCGGCUCUCUGGUCUGUAACUGACGCUGAGGUUCGAAAGCGUGGGUAGCAAACAGGAUUAGAUACCCUGGUAGUCCACGCCGUAAACGAUGAAUGCUAAGUGUUGGAGGGUUUCCGCCCU
rnacentral:rRNA from 1 species